GGGCCCGUAGCCUAGCUGGAUAGGGCGCAGGCCUUCGGAGCCUGAGGUCGAGGGUUCAAAUCCCCCCGGGCCCGCCA
rnacentral:tRNA from 1 species